rnacentral:lncRNA from 1 species
CAGUUCUUUACAAAUUCUAGGCCAGGCAUGGUGGCUCAUGCCUGUAAUUUCAGCACUUUGGGAGGCUGACCUGGGAGGAUCGUUUGAGCCCAGGCAAUUCAAGACCAGCCUGGGCAACACGGAGAAACCCUAUCUCUAUAAAAAUUACAAAAAUUAGCUGGGCAUGGUGGUGCACGCCUGUGGUUCCAGCUAGUUGGGAGGAUGAGGUGGGAGAAUCGCUUUGCUUGAGCCCGGGAGGCAGAGGUUGCAG